GAUUAAUAAUCACCUUUCUAUUGCAGUACAUCAUAGCUUUCUUUUGUUGUCUUUGUACAUUAUAAUAUGUACAGUUCUCAAUUUUUCAUCAGCAACUAACAUAAAUUCUUCCUACCUGAUGUCAAAGAAAUUCAGUUGCUGUGUGAGCUGGAGAAGGUGGAAAAACUUCCUGUUAGCUCACAAGAGAGACAGAUGAGUCAUUAGGGCACAAGCUGUUCUGUCUUUUAGGACAUAAUUCUCUUAUCAAUUCAUUACACAUUGUUCAUACAAAACAAACAGUGUCCCCAGAAUAAGUCUUAUUUUAUGUUAAAGCUCUUCGCGCAGAUGGUGUUUGACAGGCUAUCUGACGAGACAGCCAUACUAAUGGGAUGCCAGCUCUGGAAUUCCUGUUGCUUGGGAAAGAGAACUCUGUAACAAUCAGAGUUCGAUGUUGCUCCGGGCGUUCUCUUUGUAGAUGAUAAAUGCUACUACACAACUGUUUGCCCCAUGCGGAGAUGCACAGCUGUGCUACACCAGAAAAGCAGCAUAUUUCUACAGUGCUAUUUCAGUAGAUUGUGCUGCACACUUUCGCAACUUCCAUGUCAAACCAGCAGAGGGUACUCUUAAGCUUCCAAGAAGAUGUUAAAUUGCUUCAUGAGGCCAAAACGUCAAACUGGGUACCGAGGGAAGGGGACAGAAAUGUCCCCUCUUUAAUGACAAUAUAUGAGCCUGAUCACAGAUGUCUCAACAACUUCUUUCUUUUGGUGGAGAAACAAAGCACUGAUGAGUCCAUGAAUUUCCCGGAAUCACCCAGGAAAUGUUUGUGCUUCUGUUGAUCUGUGUCUCUUGACAGGAUGAAUGCUUGUUGGAGUGUUUUCAGCCUGGCCAGCUCCUGUAUAGGUGUGUCAGGACACCUGAGGACAUAGAGAGUGGGCAGUCACCACAAGGAGCUGCUGUCCUUGUCUGGCCCAGCAGGGCUCACCUGCCAGCACACAACAUGAGGGAGAUAUCUUUCAGGUCUAUGCAAGGCUAGAGACAAAGACUGAAGCCUGACAAAAUCAAGAGAGAGCGAGCAGAUGAGUACAUCAACAGAAGAUGCUUUAAGAGGGUCAUGACACAUGCCUUUUUUUCAUAGAAUUGUAGAACCACUAGGGUUGGAAAAAACUUCUAAAACCAUCAGGUUCCACCAACAGCCCAUCACCACCAUGCCCACGGUACCACGUCCCUAAGUGCCACAUCUACUCUGUUCUUGAACACUGCCAGGGUCGGUGAUGCCACCGCUUCCCUGGGCAGCCUGUUCCUAGGCCUUCUCCCAUUUUAAGCCAAAUUUCUGUUCCCACGAUGUUGAACAGUUACCAUAUUUCCUUUCUCUGAGGAGUUUUUAAAUACACUAUACCACAAAAGUGAUUAAAAGAGGCCUGUGCCUUUUGCGCUUAAGGAAAAUCCUUCUGGAUGCUGGGGAUUUAAAUGCCAAGAACAGACUUGAACAUGUCAUGUCCUAUGGGUGUCCCAGUUGAAUACCAGCUUUUAGCUUAACCAAACCCACAAUCAUCUUUAUAUUCCUCUCUCCUUUAUUUUUUUUGGAGCUGAAAGUAAUAAUUUAACACAAUCUGUGGCCAGAUAAGCUACAGCCAUAGGAUGCCACGCAGCACCAGUGUGAAGAGAACAUCAGCCAAUUCACAACUGCAAAGGACAGGCCUUCAAGAUUUGUAUUUCUUUAAGUUUUCUUCCUUACCAUUAUAAUAUCCAUUUAAUUGGUAAUGUACACAAUUUAUGCCUUUCUGAAAUAAAAUACAUGAAAGCAGAAAAGUAAGAGCUGUA
ensembl:lncRNA